AACGAACGCUGGCGGCAUGCCUAACACAUGCAAGUCGAACGAGACCUUCGGGUCUAGUGGCGCACGGGUGCGUAACGCGUGGGAACCUGCCCUUAGGUUCGGAAUAACUCCCCGAAAGGGGUGCUAAUACCGGAUAAUGUCUUCGCACCAAAGAUUUAUCGCCUUUGGAUGGGCCCGCGUUGGAUUAGCUAGUUGGUAGGGUAAAAGCCUACCAAGGCGACGAUCCAUAGCUGGUCUGAGAGGAUGAUCAGCCACACUGGGACUGAGACACGGCCCAGACUCCUACGGGAGGCAGCAGUGGGGAAUAUUGGACAAUGGGAGAAAGCCUGAUCCAGCAAUGCCGCGUGAGUGAUGAAGGCCUUAGGGUUGUAAAGCUCUUUUACCCGGGAUGAUAAUGACAGUACCGGGAGAAUAAGCGCCGGCUAACUCCGUG
rnacentral:rRNA from 1 species